GCGAGCUCCCGCGGCCCCGCCUGAGUCCGGGGGCCGCGAGUGGGGGCCGGCCGCCGCCCAGUCACUCCAGGCGGACUGAGCAUGCUCCAGGCCACUGUCAACGCUGUAGACGCUCUCUCUGUGGCUCGGGGCGCUCCACUUCGGAUUUUAGUUUUGACCCUGAGAGAAAGACACAAGUCUGGUAGAACUGUUGCUCCAGAUCAGUUGGAACACGCUUUACCCGAAGUACUUUGGCACCUAACCUAGCAGCCAGUAGCCGUAUGAGAUUUGUUGACUGGAAAAAAUGCACAACAUGAGAGCUGUGAGUUGUUUUAUUUGGAGCAAAAUGAAGUCUAUAGCCCAGGAAACAGCGUUUCAGAAAGCUCGGAGAAAGCGCUCUGAAGAGGCAAGGGGGAAGGUCAGUAUAUAUGUGAUUUUGGUGAAGGCGGGGUACAUGCAGUCAAGCACACAUUUUUGCAGAAGGUUUCUGCUAGUCGUGAGGAGCAGACGUCACCAUAAAAGACUUUAGUGCUUUUCUAGAUACGAGGAGAUGCAAAAAUCAGGCUCAUAAAAUCUUCUCCUGAAAAUAUCUAUCUGAAGGCCUGUUCUGCCAGUUUUUCCCAGAGCACAGAGUGCCUCAUUCCUGAUCUCCACCCUGAGCUCCUUUCAGGGGGUGUUGAAGGUCAGCAGCUGCAGCAGGCAGCUCACGACUCAAUCUUGUAGAGGUAGGUGGCAAGUGACCAUUUGUAGCUGGUAGAUUAUUCACAUUUUACAAAUUUGGAAACAAGUUAAGUAUUUGGCUGAAUUCACAUUGCCUUACUUCUGCCACAGCUAGUCUGUAGGCUUGAAUUUUAGUUUCUGCAGUUACAGAAUAGUAAUAAUAUCAACUUUUUAUGGCUGUCAGAAGAUUUAGGUGAAAUGAUAUAUGUGAAGUUGAUGGUAGAUAAUAUGAGAUGAAUAAAUGGUGGCCAUUAUUAGUAACAUCAGAAAGUUUGGAAGACGGUAUUACAGAGAAAGGGGUAGUUUGGAAACUAAGGAACGAAGACAGAAACUCCAGGAAGAACUUUAGACUUCUUUUAAGGAAGAAAUCUGUAAAUUGACACUUGUAUAAGAUAUAAUAGACUUUUGAUAAUGAUGGAAUGUCUAGCAGUGACUAUAAAUGCUUCAUUUUCAUUACAAAAAAGAAUGUUAAAUUUUAAAAAGAAACAACAUUAAGAUACUUCAAAGUCAUGUUCUUGAGUGUUCGCUACUGACAUUUUUCUCAUUCAUGCAUCAUUUUUAUUUUACUUCAAAGAAGAGAAAGAAGGAGAAAGACCAUAUAUUUCCUGAAUUUUGACCCUACUCUCCCUUUUCCUUCUCUUUGAUUUUUCUUUUUCGUCCUGUAUUUUUCACAGCCUCAUAUUCUUGGCCUUUUUAACCUAUUUACAAACUCCUAAACAUCACUACCCAUGGUAUUAUAUCAGAACUGUAGCAAGUUGUCUUUUUAAGUCUUGUUUUUCCAACAAUUAAAACUCUGGAUCUAAUUUAUCUACUGCCCCAGUAUUAGUAUUUGGGUGUUCAUUUCUAAAUUGCCUUGUUGCUAUGGCUAGACAUGCUAUGUAAAUAUUUGCUUGGCUUAGAAAGGAAUCUGAAAAGAGAAUUAGGUGGGAAUAAAUCCAGUCAGUUUCUCCUAUGACUUGCAGUCUUAAUAUUCUUCAGAAAUUGAGGGAAAAAAUACAAUUUAGGGGAAAAGCAAAUCAUAUGAUCAGAACUUGAAAUUUUUAUGGUAAAAUUUCUGCCUUGAUUUCUACUCAUAGAUGAAAUAACAAUGGGAGAAACAAAAGAUAACAAUAUACUAAAUAUUCCAGCAACUCUUGUUCCAUAAAUAAGUGAACUAGUGAAUAUAUGCAUAACAUACAAAUUAAUAAAGCCCAAACUCAUAUUACACACCCACAGCCUCAUUUCCAGUUUCUCUGCCCUUUCAUUCCUCAGCCAUGCCAUGUCUUUUCUCAUUCCCCACCCUCUUCUCUGUAUUAAACGUGUCCUUCAAGGCCCAGCAUAAAUGUCAUCACCUCUGUAGCAUUUCAAGGAUUCCUUCAAUAAGAAUUAAUUCCCAUGUUCCUAUAGUACAUGGUGUAUGUCUGUAUUGGGGGAUUUUCUUCUGCUUCACAGUAUGGCAAUAUUGUAAUUUUUUUGUCUCCCCUAUCUUUUAGGCUGUUGGAGGGUAGCAAUGACGUUUUACUCCUCCCUGUAAUCUUCCAGCAUCCAGCACAAAUUCCUGUAGAUAGAAAGUAAUCAAUAAUGUUUGCCCAAGGGAGGAAAGAGAUGACAGUGUGAGUUUUUUGCAACAGAUAUGUAGUAGAGGCUGCUGGCACUAAUAGUAUCCAUGAUCUGCAUGUCACUACAUUUCCUGGCUUCUCUCACAGUUAUAUUGGGGCCAUGUGACAAGUUCUAACAGAGUAUGAAUGAAAGCAACUUACGUUAUUUCUGGCUGCAGGGCGUUAAGAACCAGUAAUUCUCCUUUAUCCCCGCCUUUCCUGCUCUAAUAGCCUCAUGUUUCAUAUGGAGUCACUAUAACGUGGAGUCACUAAAAGAUAAAGAAAGGCUGCUUGUCUUGCACUGGACUCUGUGUGAGCAAGAAACCGUUAUUGUGUUUAGCCACUGAGAUUUCAGAAUUUAUUUGUCAUGAGAACAUAGCCUAGCCUAUUCUGACCAAUACAAGAUGUUAUUUAAUAAGAUUAUAAAUCAUAAUGGCAUAACAACCCAAUGAAACAUUGAGCUUACGAGAAUGCUCUAAUGUGUUCUUAAGUCAAGGCUAAAAGUACAUAUCCUCACAACCCGAACUUAACAUAUAACAGCCUUUUCUUGGCAAGACUCUGUGAGACCAAAGCAUGGGUAUGUGUGUGUGUGUGUUAACUACACACAAUAGAUUGGUUUUAACUAAGGACAAAAGACCAAAUGUCCCAGUAUUCCCCUCAGCCUGAGUGAAAAUGAACGUGCACCUGCCAUCCAGCAUCUAGUGGCAGCAUACUGUGACUGAGAUUGUAGCUGGCUAGCAGCUGUGAAUAUGAUUGCUCUGACCUGGUUUCAUACAAUAUACAAAAUAUGAAAGACAUCACUCCACUGCUUCUAGAUUUAUAUCUUGAGUGCAUCCGUAUCAGCUACUUUGGAAAUCUCUUCUAUGGAAGCCUCCCAUAGAAUUGAGGAGAAUGCAAACCUAGUCUCAGUUUUCAAAGAAUAAAAAAAGGAAAAACAAUCAUGUUGGACAUGGUUGUAUGGGGUGCCUUUCAAUAACUAUACAAGAGCCCAGAGAGGUCUUUUGUCAAAAGAAAUGACUCUUGAGGCUCCAAAAAUCUCUCCAUGGAUUCUGCAUUUAAAGUCCUGUCCACUGGGAUUUUUCUAAUUUUACAAUUUAUUUAAUGUUAUCCAUAAAGUAAACUUAAUGAAUUCUAAUUAUAAACCUAAUUAUAGAUGCCUUCAUCUGAAUAUGUUAAUUAUUCUGAAAGCAUAUAAAAUUAAAAACUUGGAUUAAAAAUUUUUACAAUAAACUAUAAACUUUCCUAGCAGAGUCUUGUAAAUAAUGGCUUAUAAGCAUUUAAUAUUUAAUGACUUUUAUCAAAUGAAUGAAUGAUGAAUGAAUAUGGUACCAAGGAACCUAGGUUUCAGUGCCUUUUCCUGUACAUGUGGUCUUAGGUGGGUCUAUUAACUUUAGCUUCACUUUUUAGAACUCCCUGGUACUUUCAAGCACUUCAAGGGCACAAAGAUUUACAGAUAUUAUGCACAGUGCUAACAAUUGAAGAAAAUAUUUAUGUAGAGGGUUUUUUUUCUAAUUAACCAAAAAUAACUGUUUACUGUAAAUAUUUUGGAGAGUAGUUUUGAUCAAGAUGCAUAAGAAUGCGACCACAAAGUUACCUGCUUAACUUGUAACCAGGUGUAACUUGCCCUGUGCCUGAACUGCCCUUGAAGGGUUAGUCAUUGUUUGCAUUUACAUAAUGCCUCGUAGGUCACAAGAUAGUUUCAGGCUAAAAUACUCUCAGCUGCCUGCUUCUCAGUAAGCUAGAUUUUCAGCUGCCCUUACUUUGUUUUAUUUGCCUAAAGUUAGAGCCAUUUUACCAUUUUGCCUUCCAUUCAGAGGCUCUUUUGCUGAUUUGCAUCUGCCAGGCAUUGACUCAAACUGCUUAUUUAUUUUCUGCUAUUUCGCUGUAUAAUUCUAAUUGAUUUCUUAAUGUUGGUUCAUUUUUCUGGGAGUUUGUUGAUUGUGAUCUUGAAUUAUCACUUGUUAUAAAUUUUUUUCCCAAGAAAUAAUCUGUAUAACAUUUGUUAUAUGAAAUGUGAUGUAGGUUUCAAAUCCAGCCCUGUGGUUUGUGCUGGAGCCUAGCAAUGUAGGUGGUCAGCUGAAGUUUAUUGAUUCUGUAUUUUUUUUUCCUUGAUUCACCAGAAUUUCAUUUCUCAAUGCAUGUCCUGAGUCACGGAAUUCAAUCUUCAUGAGUUUUAUUCAUUAGACAUAUUUAUUAAGCAACUAUUACAUGAUAGGCACUGUGAUAAGCUUUUGGGAUGUAAGUAGUGGUUCUCUCAAGCAGACUAUACACUAUUUCUUUAAUUUUCGUACUUAUUAUGAUACUAAUAAUUUUUUUUCAAUCUGAACUGGAAUUUCAGUCUGAACUGGAAUUGACUAUACUAGUUACAGUAUUGAGUUGAAGGGUUAUCCAGAGAUUCAGAAACAUGUUUCAAAAAGACAUGUAGAGUUUUUUCCUCGGAAGCCUUUAUGAAAGAGAAUGAGCUUUCUUCCAUGAUGCCAAAGACUUCAAACAACAGCUGUGGAUUUCUCUGUUAAUAUACCAGCUUUAUUUUAUUUUAAAUAAACUUUAUUGACAUAUAAGUUACAUUAAAAUGCAUGCAUUUUAAUUAGUGUACAGUUUGGUGAAUUCUGACAAAUUAUUAUAUCCAUUUAAUCACCACUCUAAUCAAGAUAUAGAGCAUUUCCAUCAUCCCAGAAAGUUCCCUCAUGCCAUUUUUAUUCAGUCCUCCCUGAAGCCUGGGCAAUGGCUAAUCUGGUUUUUAUCAUCAUAGACCAGUUGGUUUUCCGUACUCUAAAAUGGUAUGUGAAUAGAAUGACAUCAUAUCUAUUCUUUUUUAUUUGGCUUCUUUUAUUCUGCAUAUUUAUCUUUAAUUCAUCCAUGUAGUUGUGUGUAUGCAUCAGUAGUUCUUCCUUUCCUUGUUGGUUAGUAUUCUGUUGUGUGGAAAUGCCACAAUUUUUUUUAUCAAUUCACAUGUUGAGGAUAUUUGGAUUUUUAUUAUUUAAAUACCUCUAUGAAUAUUUAAAUAAAAA